rnacentral:rRNA from 1 species
CAACCCAGACCGCCAGCUAAGGUCCCAAAGUCAUGGUUAAGUGGGAAACGAUGUGGGAAGGCCCAGACAGCCAGGAUGUUGGCUUAGAAGCAGCCAUCAUUUAAAGAAAGCGUAAUAGCUCACUGGUCGAGUCGGCCUGCGCGGAAGAUGUAACGGGGCUAAACCAUGCACCGAAGCUGCGGCAGCGACGCUUAUGCGUUGUUGGGUAGGGGAGCGUUCUGUAAGCCUGCGAAGGUGUGCUGUGAGGCAUGCUGGAGGUAUCAGAAGUGCGAAUGCUGACAUAAGUAACGAUAAAGCGGGUGAAAAGCCCGCUCGCCGGAAGACCAAGGGUUCCUGUCCAACGUUAAUCGGGGCAGGGUGAGUCGACCCCUAAGGCGAGGCCGAAAGGCGUAGUCGAUGGGAAACAGGUUAAUAUUCCUGUACUUGGUGUUACUGCGAAGGGGGGACGGAGAAGGCUAUGUUGGCCGGGCGACGGUUGUCCCGGUUUAAGCGUGUAGGCUGGUUUUCCAGGCAAAUCCGGAAAAUCAAGGCUGAGGCGUGAUGACGAGGCACUACGGUGCUGAAGCAACAAAUGCCCUGCUUCCAGGAAAAGCCUCUAAGCAUCAGGUAACAUCAAAUCGUACCCCAAACCGACACAGGUGGUCAGGUAGAGAAUACCAAGGCGCUUGAGAGAACUCGGGUGAAGGAACUAGGCAAAAUGGUGCCGUAACUUCGGGAGAAGGCACGCUGAUAUGUAGGUGAAGCGACUUGCUCGUGGAGCUGAAAUCAGUCGAAGAUACCAGCUGGCUGCAACUGUUUAUUAAAAACACAGCACUGUGCAAACACGAAAGUGGACGUAUACGGUGUGACGCCUGCCCGGUGCCGGAAGGUUAAUUGAUGGGGUUAGCGCAAGCGAAGCUCUUGAUCGAAGCCCCGGUAAACGGCGGCCGUAACUAUAACGGUCCUAAGGUAGCGAAAUUCCUUGUCGGGUAAGUUCCGACCUGCACGAAUGGCGUAAUGAUGGCCAGGCUGUCUCCACCCGAGACUCAGUGAAAUUGAACUCGCUGUGAAGAUGCAGUGUACCCGCGGCAAGACGGAAAGACCCCGUGAACCUUUACUAUAGCUUGACACUGAACAUUGAGCCUUGAUGUGUAGGAUAGGUGGGAGGCUUUGAAGUGUGGACGCCAGUCUGCAUGGAGCCGACCUUGAAAUACCACCCUUUAAUGUUUGAUGUUCUAACGUUGACCCGUAAUCCGGGUUGCGGACAGUGUCUGGUGGGUAGUUUGACUGGGGCGGUCUCCUCCUAAAGAGUAACGGAGGAGCACGAAGGUUGGCUAAUCCUGGUCGGACAUCAGGAGGUUAGUGCAAUGGCAUAAGCCAGCUUGACUGCGAGCGUGACGGCGCGAGCAGGUGCGAAAGCAGGUCAUAGUGAUCCGGUGGUUCUGAAUGGAAGGGCCAUCGCUCAACGGAUAAAAGGUACUCCGGGGAUAACAGGCUGAUACCGCCCAAGAGUUCAUAUCGACGGCGGUGUUUGGCACCUCGAUGUCGGCUCAUCACAUCCUGGGGCUGAAGUAGGUCCCAAGGGUAUGGCUGUUCGCCAUUUAAAGUGGUACGCGAGCUGGGUUUAGAACGUCGUGAGACAGUUCGGUCCCUAUCUGCCGUGGGCGCUGGAGAACUGAGGGGGGCUGCUCCUAGUACGAGAGGACCGGAGUGGACGCAUCACUGGUGUUCGGGUUGUCAUGCCAAUGGCACUGCCCGGUAGCUAAAUGCGGAAGAGAUAAGUGCUGAAAGCAUCUAAGCACGAAACUUGCCCCGAGAUGAGUUCUCCCUGACUCCUUGAGAGUCCUGAAGGAACGUUGAAGACGACGACGUUGAUAGGCCGGGUGUGUAAGCGCAGCGAUGCGUUGAGCUAACCGGUACUAAUGAACCGUGAGGCUUAACCUUACAACGCCGAA